UAGCGGAGCGUGUGGUUUAAUUCGAUGCAACGCGAAGAACCUUACCAAGGCUUGACAUGCUUGAAGUAGAAACUUGAAAGAGAGACGACCUGUAUCCAAUCAGGAGCUUGCACAGGUGCUGCAUGGCUGUCGUCCAGCUCGUGCCGUGAGGUGUUAGGUUAAGUCCUGCAACGAGCGCAACCCUCAUUGCUAGUUAAAUUCUCUAGCGAUACUGCCCGUAUAACGUGGAGGAAGGUGAGGAUGACGUCAAGUCAGCAUGGCCCUUACGCCUUGGGCUACACACACGCUACAAUGGAUGAUACAGAGGGUCGCUAAGAAGCGAUUCGGAGCUAAUCCCUAAAAUCAUCCUCAGUUCAGAUUGUAGACUGAAACUGUCUACAUGAAGUAGGAGUUGCUAGUAACCGCAUAA
rnacentral:rRNA from 1 species